UACGGAGGGUGCGGGCGUUGUCCGGAAUCACUGGGCGUAAAGGGCGCGUAGGCGGCCUGGUAAGUAGGGGGUGAAAUCCUGCGGCUUAACCGCAGGGCUGCCUUCUAAACUGUCAGGCUCGAGCACGGUAGAGGCAGAUGGAAUUCCCGGUGUAGCGGUGGAAUGCGUAGAGAUCGGGAAGAACAUCAGUGGCGAAGGCGGUCUGCUGGGCCGUUGCUGACGCUGAGGCGCGACAGCGUGGGGAGCAAACAGG
rnacentral:rRNA from 1 species